CAGUCGACGGAGCUAGACGCUGAUGAAUAGCUUGCUAGGAAUCUUGUUUAGCUUAGUGGCGGACGGGUGAGUAACGCGUGAGCAACCUGCCUUUCAGAGGGGGAUAACGUUUGGAAACGAACGCUAAUACCGCAUGAUAUUAAAGGGCUGCAUGGCCUGAUAAUCAAAGGAGCAAUCCGCUGAAAGAUGGGCUCGCGUCCGAUUAGGUAGUUGGUGAGGUAACGGCCCACCAAGCCGACGAUCGGUAGCCGGACUGAGAGGUUGAACGGCCACAUUGGGACUGAGACACGGCCCAGACUCCUACGGGAGGCAGCAGUGAGGGAUAUUGGUCAAUGGGGGAAACCCUGAACCAGCAACGCCGCGUGAGGGAAGACGGUUUUCGGAUUGUAAACCUCUGUCCUCUGUGAAGAUGAUGACGGUAGCAGAGGAGGAAGCUCCGGCUAACUACGUGCCAGCAGCCGCGGUAAUACGUAGGGAGCAAGCGUUGUCCGGAUUUACUGGGUGUAAAGGGUGCGUAGGCGGCUUAGCAAGUCAGAAGUGAAAUCCAUGGGCUUAACCCAUGAACUGCUUUUGAAACUGUUGAGCUUGAGUGGAGUAGAGGUAGGCGGAAUUCCCGGUGUAGCGGUGAAAUGCGUAGAGAUCGGGAGGAACACCAGUGGCGAAGGCGGCCUACUGGGCUCUAACUGACGCUGAGGCACGAAAGCGUGGGUAGCAAACAGGAUUAGAUACCCUGGUAGUCCAUGCUGUAAACGAUGAUUACUAGGUGUGGGUGGACUGACCCCAUCCGUGCCGGAGUUAACACAAUAAGUAAUCCACC
rnacentral:rRNA from 1 species